AGCGAACGCUGGCGGCAGGCUUAACACAUGCAAGUCGAGCGGGCGUAGCAAUACGUCAGCGGCAGACGGGUGAGUAACGCGUGGGAACGUACCUUUUGGUUCGGAACAACACAGGGAAACUUGUGCUAAUACCGGAUAAGCCCUUACGGGGAAAGAUUUAUCGCCGAAAGAUCGGCCCGCGUCUGAUUAGCUAGUUGGUGUGGUAACGGCGCACCAAGGCGACGAUCAGUAGCUGGCUGAGAGGAUGAUCAGCCACAUUGGGACUGAGACACGGCCCAAACUCCUACGGGAGGCAGCAGUGGGGAAUAUUGGACAAUGGGCGCAAGCCUGAUCCAGCCAUGCCGCGUGAGUGAUGAAGGCCCUAGGGUUGUAAAGCUCUUUUGUGCGGGGAAGAUAAUGACGGUACCGCAAGAAUAAGCCCCGGCUAACUUCGUGCCAGCCGCCGCUGUAAG
rnacentral:rRNA from 1 species